UGCUCUCAUGAAAUGCAUCACAUCACAAACAUAGCAUCUCAAGGAUGAAUUUGUCACCAAUAACCCUCAACUACAUGUUAUAAUAAUGCCAACUGUGCCAAGGAGACUAUGUCAUCACCUGGUCUACACUUAUCUCUCUGAUAUCAUAACAUGACCAACUGUGCCAAGGAGACGAGGUCUCACCUGGUCUACACUUACCUCUGAUUUGACAGCCUAGCUGUCUCACUCAUAGUACCAGGAGCGACCUGGACUAUCCAGGGGCGACCUGGUAUGGCUAUCUCAUGCCAUAACUCUGUAUCUGCUCUCUGUCAAGGGCUAAGGAUCAUCCAACAUUCAUCCACAGGAACAAC
rnacentral:lncRNA from 1 species